CCUACGGUAGGCAGCAGUGGGGAAUAUUGGACAAUGGGGGGAACCCUGAUCCAGCGACGCCGCGUGAGUGAAGAAGUAUUUCGGUAUGUAAAGCUCUAUCAGCAGGGAAGAAAGACAUGACGGUCCCUGACUAAGAAGCCCCGGCUAACUACGUGCCAGCAGCCGCGGUAAUACGUAGGGGGCAAGCGUUAUCCGGAUUUACUGGGUGUAAAGGGAGCGUAGACGGCGAUGCAAGUCUGAAGUGAAAGGCGGGGGCCCAACCCCCGGACUGCUUUGGAAACUGUAUGGCUGGAGUGCAGGAGAGGUAAGUGGAAUUCCUAGUGUAGCGGUGAAAUGCGUAGAUAUUAGGAGGAACACCAGUGGCGAAGGCGGCUUACUGGACUGUAACUGACGUUGAGGCUCGAAAGCGUGGGGAGCAAACAGGAUUAGAUACCCUUGUAGUC
rnacentral:rRNA from 1 species